rnacentral:rRNA from 1 species
GACGAACGCUGGCGGCGUGCCUAAUACAUGCAAGUAGAACGCACAGUUUAUACCGUAGCUUGCUACACCAUAAACUGUGAGUUGCGAACGGGUGAGUAACGCGUAGGUAACCUGCCUGGUAGCGGGGGAUAACUAUUGGAAACGAUAGCUAAUACCGCAUAAUAUUAAUUAUUGCAUGAUAAUUGAUUGAACGAUGCAAUUGCAUCACUACCAGAUGGACCUGCGUUGUAUUAGCUAGUAGGUGAGGUAACGGCUCACCUAGGCGACGAUACAUAGCCGACCUGAGAGGGUGAUCGGCCACACUGGGACUGAGACACGGCCCAGACUCCUACGGGAGGCAGCAGUAGGGAAUCUUCGGCAAUGGACGAAAGUCUGACCGAGCAACGCCGCGUGAGUGAAGAAGGUUUUCGGAUCGUAAAGCUCGGUUGUAAGAGAAGAACGGGUGUGAGAGUGGAAAGUUCACACUGUGACGGUAGCUUACCAGAAAGGGACGGCUAACUACGUG